CCUACGGGUGGCAGCAGUGAGGAAUAUUGGUCAAUGGGAGGAAUCCUGAACCAGCCAUGCCGCGUGCAGGACGACGGCUCUACGAGUUGUAAACUGCUUUUGUACCGGGGUAAAAUGCUCUACGAGUAGGGUUUUGAAAGUACGGUACGAAUAAGGAUCGGCUAACUCCGUGCCAGCAGCCGCGGUAAUACUGAGGAUCCGAGCGUUAUCCGGAUUUAUUGGGUUUAAAGGGUGCGUAGGCGGGUUAUCAAGUCAGCGGUAAAAUCGUGGAGCUCAACCUGUGGCCUGCAUUUGAAACUGGUUUUCUUGAGUACUGGAGAGGCAGACGGAAUUCCUAGUGUAGCGGUGAAAUGCGUAGAUAUUAGGAGGAAAACCAGUGGCGAAGGCGGUCUGCUGGACAGCAACUGACGCUGAGGCGCGAAAGCGUGGGGAGCAAACAGGAUUAGAUACCCGAGUAGUC
rnacentral:rRNA from 1 species